rnacentral:rRNA from 1 species
UACGUAGGGUGCAAGCGUUGUCCGGAAUUAUUGGGCGUAAAGAGCUCGUAGGCGGUCUGUCGCGUCUGGUGUGAAAACUCAGGGCUUAACCCUGAGCUUGCAUCGGGUACGGGCAGACUAGAGUGCGGUAGGGGAGACUGGAAUUCCUGGUGUAGCGGUGAAAUGCGCAGAUAUCAGGAGGAACACCGGUGGCGAAGGCGGUUCUCUGGGAAUGUCCUGACGCUGGAGGAGCGAAAAGUGUGGGGGAGCGAACAGG